rnacentral:tRNA from 2 species
GCCGGGGUAGCCAAGCCAGGUAAGGCGCCAGUCAUCAGAUCUGGUUCUCCUUCGGAGAUCGGGGGUUCAAAUCCCCUCCCCGGCG